CGGGGGAGGGGAUGGAGGCGUCCAAAGCGGCUGGUCGCAGGCGGAAAGGUGCUGUGCUCACCCGGCCGAGGGGUGCCCGGGUAGCCUGGGGCGCAGGGCUUUCAAGGACGGACGUGGGCUCCGCAGGGAGCUGGCCCAGUGCCUUGGCUUCGUGGGAGGGGACGUUAGAGGAGGUCCUGAUGGGAAAGGAAAGCCGGGGAAAAGAGGCUUUCCUCAAUAAAUAUUUUACACCUGCCCUAAGGCCUGCAGUGUGCGAGAAACUGUGUUACCGUCCAAAACAACACUAUGCGCAAACAGUGGCAUCUCCAUUUCACAGAUUAAAAAACUGACGCUUAGAGAAGUUAAUGAUGUUGUCCAAGGCCUUACAGUCUUUCGAAGAACUAAAAUGACAUCCAAGUGUUUUUGACUCUGUGACCUGGGUUCUUUUCCCUCCAAUACAGCAACGAUGUAAUCACCGUUUAUCACAGCCAAGACGUCUGAAGGAAAGAAAGUUCUCAGGAUGACUUGAUUGCAUACUACUAUAAAAGGGUCAAGAUCUGCAAUGUCCCCCUCCUGCCUUUCUGCCCUCUUCAUACCUGAAGAUGGCAAUGAGCAGCCUGGCUCUCAGUGUGUGAAUACAUGCAUGGAAGGUGAGUCAGGAUCAGUAACACUGAGGCUCAAAGGUGAAGGCUGUGCGGUUGGAAAAGAGGGCGCUGGAAAGCCUUAAAUAUAAAAUUAGAGUUGCCAGAAAAGAAGAUGAUGCCACAGCUGAUUGUCAGGGAGCCCAUCUCUCCUGAAGCUGCAGUGAGGAUUCCCAUCAGUUGGCUACUUUGCAGUCAACAAAGGGCUCCUGCUGACGCUGCUCCCGUUUGCUUUUUUCAGCAGUCCUCUAGGAUGUGGGCAUCAUUGUCCCAUGUUGUGCGGAUGGGAAAAGCGAGGCUCAGGACUGGGUGGCUUGCCCAGGGCUGGCCAGGAAGAGGCUGCACCUGGCCUUGAGGAGAGGCAGCGUGCCUGGAAAGCCCAUGCCCUUCCUGACACACCACACUGUUCCUUGUCACAUGCUGCCUGCCCGUCUCUGCAUGAAGGUCACACUGGGGCAGAAGCCCAUCCUGACAUUCCUGGGGCUGAGUGGAGGCCUCAGGAGAGGAGGAGGAGGAAAAUGAAAUCGACCCUUUAGAUUUAAGCCAGCUGGAUUUAAGAGCAGAGGAGCAGCCUUGUCUUUGGAAAAGGAGACCAGCAGCCAAGUUCUCCCAUCUGUGUCUCCACGUCGGCAGGAAAGGACUGUAUCUGUCCCAAAGUACCUAAUGUUGGCAAACAGAGCAGAGAACCCUGCCUGGUCCAGUGCCUGCACCAGGUGCAUCACCAUCUCUUAGGAGUUCUUGGAAAUGAAAAUUCUUGGUCCUGGCCUCAGACCUGCUGAGUCAGUAAUGCUGGGGGUGGGACCCAGCUUUCUGUGUUGUCACAGGCCCCCCAGACGAUUCUGAUGCACAAUAAAGUUUGCUUAAAUAGCAGUGAAAGUGGUUAUAUUGGUUGCCCAUGAAGACUUCGGUGAAAAUGGGAAAUAAUUGUGAUGUGCCCCCAGGCACCUGCCUCAGAAGAUGGGAUUCAGGGAUGACCUCUCUGGCAUCCAGGGUCACCUUCCUGGAACCAGACACUCCAGACUCUGUUUGAGGUAGAAAUGAAGGAAAGUUAUAUUUAUUUGUUUGUAGAAUGAAAAAACACUGGAAAGAAAUAUGACAAAAUAAUUACUUUAAAACAUGAGUGAUGGGAAUGUAUUUCUUGCUAUAUUUUGCUACAUAGAUAAGAUGUAUGAAAAUUAAAAAUAGAAAUAUAUUUUUUGAAUGCUAGAGUUUAAUAUUUAAGUGUCUAGUAUUAUAAUUGAGUAAAUAUAGGGAAUUAUAACUUAGAAAUAAGAUUACUAUAUGACGUUAACUGCCACAGAAUUAGUCUUUGCAGUAGCAAAAACACCUGUUCAAGAGGCUGUCUUCAGUAACCUGGAAGGCAGAACACAGGACUGCUGAGCCUGCUGUGAUGAGGUAAAACAGAAUGUUGGUUGCUGCUGGCUGCACUUAAUUAAAUAUUAUAAGAAAGAGACAAACUCAGGGAAGAAUUGGCUUUUAUGCAAGCAAAAAAUGAAAGGGAAUUUUCAGUAUGUGGUAUUUUACAAGGUUGGAAAAGCUAACUGCAUCUGGGACCUAAAAACAAGAGGUAAACCUGAGCAAGCUUUUGCACAACUGGCACACAAUAAACACAAUAAAUGAUAAUUUUACAAAUUCCUUAUUUUCCAAAGGCCACCAUGAAGUCUUUGUAUUGUUUCCUACAAUACAAUCUUCUAACCUUCUGCUCUGCUAUUGUGAGAAGUUGUGCCAAAGCAACAGAGAUGGCUUUAGCGCGUUAGAUGUCCUUCUUUUGCAGUAUCACUUUGUCUUGUAUAUAGGAGGUUUUCAAUUUGCUUACUCCGAAGUCAGAGGGUAACUUGGCCCUAUUGAUUUGAGCUAUAUUAGCUUACGUAGAUCAUUAACCUUAGGAGAACAUUUCGCCUCUUGACCCUAUUUGGUUUUUGUCCAUGGUCCUGCAAAGAUCACUCAACCCAUUUUUGAGACAAUCAUUUAUAUGCAUUUUUUCAUCAAUUUGAUAAUUUUCUAUAUUACACCAGACACCCUUUUCCAACCUAGGAUUAACAUGUUGAACAAGAGAAAUGUGAUCACUGCCCUUAUAGACCUGAUUUCCCUUCAAAGGUAUGAAUAAAUGAAGAGCUUGAGCUGUUAUAAAUGUGUACAAUAACCUGUAAACCUCAUCCAUGCAGCAAUGAUAUACUAGAGUCUUAGAAACUAAAGGUGAAACAUUAGUAGCUAACGUAGUCCUCACUUGUGCUUUUGUCAUGAUGAAGUAGCUUGUGCAGGAAUUGUAAUCUUGUUGGAUACAUCAAGAAAAUGUGGAUAAAGUAGAAAGUAACAUCUAUUUAGGAGUGCUAGGGAUUAGAGGUACCAAGUUUUUGGAAAGGGGAACGGGUAACAGACAGGUGAGAUGAUGUUCUGCAACCACAUUUCCCUGGGGGAAUUUGCCACUUCUGGGCACAAGGCAGGAGGUAUCAGCUUUGGCCAAGUAGAGGAGCACUGCUAUCAGAGCUUAUGGCAUACUCAGGGCUGGAAAAGCAGAAGUACAGGCACGAUCUCAUUGAGAAAGUAGGGUGCAGAGAACUUAAUCUAGCAAGUGAUCAGUUUUCCCUUAAGAUAACUGGCACAAUUUGAAGCUCCAUGGAAUGGGAGACAAUAAUGAUAACUCCACACCCUGGAGAGGGCCCAAAGAAUGUACCAAGUAUAUUAGUUUCCUACUGCUGCUCUAACAAUUACCACAAAUGUAGUGGCUGAAAACAACACAAAUUUAUUAUCUUACAGUUGUUGUAGGUCAAAAGUCUGCAAUGGAUCUCAGUGAGCUAAACUCAGGAUGUCGGCAGCAGGUGUCCUUUUUGAAGGCUUGACAGGCAAAUCCAUUGUCUUGCCUUUUCCAGCUUUAGAGCUGUUCACAUUUCUUGGCUCAUUGCCCUACCCUCUUCCAUCUUCAAAACCAGCAAUGGCGGAGUCUUUCUUACAUUGCUUCACUCAGACACCAGCUCUUCUGUUUCCCUCUCACACACUGAAAGGAUUCUUGACUAGAUCAGCCCACCCAGAUAAUCCAGGAUAAUCUCUUUAUCCUGAAGCCAUUGUGGUUAGCAACUUUAAUCUGCAGCCUUAAUCCUCCCUUGCCUGGUAAUAAAACAUGUUCACAAUUUGUGACUUUGGGACCCAGACAUCUUUUCUUCCUACCAUUUUCCUGCCUACCACACCAAGCUUUCAGUUGGAAGCCACUGGAGCCUUCCAAAACUGCAACCUAGUCUUGAUUCAAUUCAACCUUGACUGGAUGAAAGUGAUCAGUCCCUACUCUGUUUUAGCAGAUUAAAAGUGUGAACGCAUUUUGGAAAUGAUGGCAUAUCAUCUGGAGCUUCUAAAAUAUUUUUAUACAACAUCCAGUUGUUCAAGCAAAAACUGAAAGGCAUGCCAAGAGAACUGUAUGUCCAAAAAACUAAUAGAAAAACACGCAAUAUAAAUACAUCUGCAAAUAAUCCAGAUAUUGCAGUUAACACACAGACAAGAACCUUUAAAAACUCUGAUUAACAGGGUCAAGAGGAUAAAGUAAAAGUGAUGAAAGUAGAGGAAAAGAUGGUGAAGGCAGUGGAUAAUGGAGAAUUUCACUGAGAAUUAGAAUCUAUAAAGAAACCAAGUGGAAAUUCUAGGAAAGAAAAAGGCAAUAAUUCCAGUACAGACAGAAGAAAAAGUGUGCCUUCCGCCUGCUUGACUGUGGCAGCCGACUGAAUGGGGGAAUACAGGAAUUACAAAAAUAUGGAAAGAGCAGUCUUCCAACUCAGAAAUAACUUUGUAAACAACACAAAGAGAUUGUUUUACUCCAAAAAGGAAUCUAAAAGGAACUGCGGGAACAACGAACAACAAGUCGGGACACCGAGACGAAUGGUGAGAAGGGGUUUAUUAUUAGUGAGGGCACUGGCUCAGCAGAUCUUUAUCCAAAGGCUUAGGCGCGAGCACAGGGGGGUCCCAUGCCUUUUAUACAUUCAUUACAAGGGCAAAGGAGAGUCAGUCCCCAAGAAUGUUGCACGGAGUGCUGUUACUGUACUAUAGGUUCAGGCAGAAUGCUGGUUAUGUCUUAACCUAUCUCAAUAAAGGGUACACGGAUACUCUAUUGUAAACUAA